UACGAAGGGGGCUAGCGUUGUUCGGAAUUACUGGGCGUAAAGCGCACGUAGGCGGCUACUUCAGUUCGGGGUGAAAUCCCGGGGCUCAACCCCGGAACUGCCUUUAAUACUGGGUAUCUCGAGUUCGAGAGAGGUGAGUGGAAUUCCGAGUGUAGAGGUGAAAUUCGUAGAUAUUCGGAGGAACACCAGUGGCGAAGGCGGCUCACUGGCUCGAUACUGACGCUGAGGUGCGAAAGCGUGGGGAGCAAACAGG
rnacentral:rRNA from 1 species